rnacentral:rRNA from 1 species
UACGGAGGGUGCGAGCGUUGUCCGGAAUCACUGGGCGUAAAGGGCGCGUAGGCGGCCUGAUAAGUAGGGGGUGAAAUCCUGCGGCUUAACCGCAGGGCUGCCUUCUAAACUGUCAGGCUUGAGCACAGUAGAGGCAGGUGGAAUUCCCGGUGUAGCGGUGGAAUGCGUAGAGAUCGGGAAGAACAUCAGUGGCGAAGGCGGCCUGCUUGGCUGUUGCUGACGCUGAGGCGCGACAGCGUGGGGAGCAAACAGG